UGGCCUACUUCUCGCGAAAGUAACAACCACAGACAACUUGUAUAAUCUGAAGAGACAAGCGAGUGCAAGCGUACCACUUUUACUUUCCGUUGCAGUACUCGUAGUACCACUUUUGUUGUCGUUUACCGUUCUUAUCAAACGACACUAUAGAAAUUAGUGAUCAUUUUGGUUUUAAUAGUUGAAAAAUAAUAUUAAGUCCACAUAUAUAGUGCAAUUGUUCUUUCCAAUUUUUUUUUGGAUAAUAACGAUAACAAAGUAAACAUUGGAAAUUCGUAAUAUAUUGAAGAAGUAAAAAGCCCAAAAGGAAAGAUGUAUCCAUCAGCAGAUCCUCCACCCAGAUAAUGUUCUUAAUCUUCUGUCUAUUGGGUAGUGUAGACCAAAUUGGACUAGUGCAAGAUAAUCCUCCUGACUAUACUUAUAAACACAGCACCACUCCCAUGGACGUUUUUAUGGCUCUAUUUAUGGUUUGUACCCUUGAGGUGGUUAUGAUGAAGAUUUUGGUUUUCGACAAUACUCCAAAUAGAGAUGAGAGUUCUAGGACAGUAGUAAAUGACUUUUUUGAUAGAUAGUUCAAAAUUUGUUUUUCUAGUUAUGUUAAUAAAUAUUUAUAAUUAA